rnacentral:rRNA from 1 species
UGGGGAAUCUUGCACAAUGGGGGCAACCCUGAUGCAGCGACGCCGCGUGAGCGAUGAAGCCCUUCGGGGCGUAAAGCUCUUUCGACCGGAACGAUAAUGACGGUACCGGGAGAAGAAGCUGCGGCUAACUACGUGCCAGCAGCCGCGGUAAUACGUAGGCAGCAAGCGUUGUUCGGAGUUACUGGGCGUAAAGAGUGCGUAGGCGGUUUUCUAAGUCCGGUGUGAAAUCUCCCGGCUUAACUGGGAGGGUGCGCCGAAGACUGGGAAGCUGGAGUGUGGGAAAGGCAGGCGGAAUUCCUGGUGUAGCGGUGAAAUGCGUAGAUAUCAGGAGGAACACCGGCGGUGUAGACGGCUUGCUAGACCAUAACUGACGCUGAGGCACGAAAGCGUGGGUAGCAAACA